GCUCAGAGAGUCAGAUAGGGCUUGGAUAGAGCCAGUAACCAGGAGGGUUAGGCCUAAGAAUAGAAUCUCUAGUGAGGGUCUCUGGGUUGGGGGCUUGGAUAUUGGAAGUGAAGUUCAAGUUGAAUUUAGAGGUUCCUAUUUUCUUCAAAGCAUGAUGGAAAGCCCAAAGAAUGUUAAUAAGAUUAAUGAAAUUCUACAGAAGAAUGUCAUGCACUCAUUGCUGAAUUGCAUCUAAAGCCAAAUUCAAGGCUUCAGCUGUGAGGACCAGUUAUUUCCUUGCUAGAAGGAAGAAAAAAAAGGAUCUCAAGAGAAUUGGUUCAGGGAUUCAGAAACAGAAGGAAAGAUUUUAUACAGAUUUAGUUCUAAGAUGAGAACUGCAAUAAGGACAAUUUUCUGUUGAGGGAGCAGCUGAUGUGGAAGUUGCUGGAUAACAUUUGUGGAAGACAAAAAGCUCUUACAAGGUUGACUGAGCUGUUGGAGAAGUUCAAGAUAAAAAACGGGUGGAUUUUGGGAUAUAAACAAGAGAAAUGAAAAUUUUGUACUGAAAUCCCAUGAUUGCAUGGAAAUUUGCAUAAAGAAUUAGAUGUGUUUACAAAACUGGAAAACCUGGAUCAGUUUUGUAUGCACUUGAACUGGGCCUGAUUUGGUUCAAACCGAACUGGUGGUCAUGCAAAUGCAUGGUCAUGCAAAUGGCCUCUGAACAUGCAUGGAGGCCAUGUUAUUGACCUCUACACAAGUGCAGAGGCCCAAACCAGGCCUGAACUGGCCCAGCCUGCUCCAGAGGGGGUUGAGGGGAGUCAUUGCUACCACCAUCCACCCCUGGGGCUGCAGCAGCCGCUGCAGCGGUGGCUGCCGGUGGCACUUCUAAGGUGAACACUUACUCCCCUCCUGCCUCAACUAGUUUUAACCAAGCCCCCUGCUAGGGAUCUGCAAACAGGUUUGAUGUUGAACGUGUUCGACCAUUUGGGGUCGAAGUGAAGCAAACCCUGUUUGGUCUUACCCCGGACCAAACACCCCCCAAUCAUUUGGGGGGUUAGAGAUUUU